UGUAAAUACAACCUGUUCUGUCCUGUCUAGGUACUGUAAAUACAACCUGUUCUGUCCUAUGUCCUGUCUAGGUACUGUAAAUACAACCUGUUCUGUCCUGUCUAGGUACUGUAAAUACAACCUGUUCUGUCCUGUCUAGGUACUGUAAAUACAACCUGUUCUGUCCUGUCUAGGUACUGUAAAUACAACCUGUUCUGUCCUGUCUAGGUACUGUAAAUACAACCUGGUCUGUCCUGUCUAGGUACUGUAAAUACAAACUGUUCUGUCCUGUCUAGGUACUGUAAAUAAAACCUGUCCUGUCUAGUUACUGUAAAUACAGCCUGUUCUGUCCUGUCUAGGUACUGUAAAUACAGCCUGUUCUGUCCUGUCUAGGUACUGUAAAUACAACCUGUCCUGUCUAGGUACUGUAAAUACAGCCUGUCCUGUCUAGGUACUCCUGUUCUGUCCUAUCUAGGUACUGUAAAUACAACCUGUCCUGUCUAGGUACUGUAAAUACAACCUGUCCUGUCUAGGUACUGUAAAUACAACCUGUUCUGUCCUGUCUAGGUACUAUAAAUACAACCUGUCCUGUCUAGGUACUGUAAAUACAGCCUGUUAUGUCCUGUCUAGGUACUGUAAAUACAACCUGUCCUGUCUAGGUACUGUAAAUCCAGCCUGUUCUGUCCUGUCUAGGUACUCCUGUCCUGUCUAGGUACUGUAAAUACAGCCUGUCCUGUCUAGGUACUUUAAAUACAACCUGUCCUGUCUAUGCACUGUAAAUACAACCUGUCCUGUCUAGGUACUGUAAAUACAGCCUGUCCUGUCUAGGUACUGUAAAUACAGCCUGGUCUGUCCUGUCUAGGUACUGUAAAUACAACCUUGUCUGUCCUGUCUAGGUACUGUAAAUACAGCCUGUCCUGUCUAGGUACUGUAAAUACAACCUGUCCUGUCUAGGUACUGUAAAUACAGCCUGUCCUGUCUAGGCACUGUAAAUACAACCUGUCCUGUCUAGGUACUGUAAAUACAACCUGUCCUGUCUAUGCACUGUAAAUACAACCUGUUCCGUUUCUUCUCUAGUUGGGGAAGCAAAUGCACUACGUGACAAACUCCUAAAUAUGUUAUCUGUGU